ACACACCACAUACACAACUCACGCACACACUCAACACACGCACAGACACACCUUCUCACUCUCUCCCUCUCUCGGCUUCUGCCGCCGCCGCCGGACGGCGGCGCGCCCGACGGAGGCCGGCGCCUCCUCUCUCCUCGACCUUUCUCUCUCUCCCUGACCUCUCUGUUGGCCGGACGCCAUCGGCGAGAAGCGCCGAAGCCGCCGCCCCUCCUCUUCCGCUGCGAGCAGCCAUCGACGAGACCGAUGAGAACAUAUUAGGUUUUCUAAUUGCUUCUGUAUAGAUGAGCAUAUGCAUACAUAUUACAUAUAAUUUUGAUUUCUUACGAAAGAAUUGAUUUUGAGUGCUUCUGUGUUCUUUCAAUUAUAAAGUGGGUGUUAUGAAUCUGAAUGUAAAGAUGAGAACAAUUGUGAGAAGUAUCUGCACACAACCGAAAAGAGAAAAACAGAAUAUUGCUGUAUAACAUUUGCAGAGAUUUACAGAUUUGAUGAAGCUGUGUACACAAAAGGAGGUAAGAAAGGAGGAGUCUGAUUGAGAUUUGUGGUGCGGUGAAUUUAGAAAAAUGAUAUUGAGAAGGAGUUGACUAAGAUGGUUAGUGAAUUUAAAUGUUUUAGAAACUGGUACCAACGUCAUAAUUUUCAUAAUUUUUCUUAAUGGGGUUUACUCGAUAUAUAGUGAUAUGGUUACAAUAAAAUUGUUUAAUAGUGAAUGAUUU
rnacentral:lncRNA from 1 species